GCGGGUGUAGUUCAAUGGUAGAACUUCAGCUUCCCAAGCUGAGAGCGCGGGUUCGAUUCCCGUCACCCGCUCC
rnacentral:tRNA from 1 species